GAUGAACGCUAGCGGCAGGCUUAAUACAUGCAAGUCGAGGGGGCAGCAAUGUCACCGGCGGACGGGUGCGUAACGCGUAUGAGACCUACCUUUAUCAGGGGGAUAGCCCGGGGAAACCCGGAUUAAUACCGCAUAAUAUAUUGAAUGGCAUCAUUUGAUAUUGAAAGAUUUAUUGGAUAGAGAUGGUCAUGCGUAGGAUU
rnacentral:rRNA from 1 species